rnacentral:rRNA from 1 species
UGCCAGCCGCCGCGGUAAUACGGGGGGUGCAAGCGUUAUUCGGAAUUAUUGGGCGUAAAGGGCGCGCAGGCGGUCUUGUCAGUCAGGUGUGAAAGCCCGGGGCUCAACCCCGGAUGGUCACUUGAAACAGCAAGACUUGAGUACUGGAGAGGAAAGCGGAAUUCCUGGUGUAGAGGUGAAAUUCGUAGAUAUUCGGAGGAACACCAGUGGCGAAGGCGGCUUUCUGGACCAAUACUGACGCUGAGAUGCGAAAGCGUGGGGAGCGAACAGGAUUAGAUA